AUUUUCAGAGAGUGAGCUAACGCAUGAAAUCAGCAGCCUAAAGACUACGGCCGCAAGGCUAAAAUUUAAAGGAAUUGACGGGGGCUUACACAAGCGGUGGAGCAUGUGGUUUAAUUCGAAGCAACGCGCAGAACCUUACCAAUCCUUGCAAUAUACAGAAAACAAUGGUUAUGCUUUGUAUUUUGGUAUACAGGCGCUGCAUGGCUGUCGUCAGUUCGUGGCGUGAGCUGUUGGGUUAAGUCCUAGAACGAACGCAACCCUCUUGACAAGUGUAUAUUUUUAUACUAUACCUUUUCAUACUGCCAGUGACAUACGGGAGGAAGGUGAGGAUGACGUCAAGUCCGCAUGGCCCUUAUGGGUUGGGCUACACACGUGCUACAAUGACGGAAGCAAAAGGCAGCAAUAUGGUGACAUGGAGCAAAUCCCUAAAAGCCGUCGUAGUUCGGAUUGUUCUCUGCAACUCGAGAACAUGAAGAUGGAAUCGCUAGUAAUCGUAGAUCAGCAUGCUACGGUGAAUUUGUAUCUAAGCCUUGUACACACCGCCCGUCACAUAAUGGGAGCGAGAUCUGCACAAAGUAUUUUAUUGCUACACAUAAGCAUAUGUAUAAUGUAUUAUUCAUAAGGUGUGUACUGCAUACAAUAUUACUGCAGGUAUUGUGACUGAUAUGAAGUCGUAACAAGGUAGCCGU
rnacentral:rRNA from 1 species